AGAGUUUGAUUCUGGCUCAGGAUGAACGCUAGCUACAGGCUUAACACAUGCAAGUCGAGGGGCAGCAUUGGAGUAGCAAUACUCAGAUGGCGACCGGCGCACGGGUGAGUAACACGUAUCCAACCUGCCGCUUACUCGGGGAUAGCCUUUCGAAAGAAAGAUUAAUACCCGAUGGUAUAAAGAGUUCGCAUGUUCUCUUUAUUAAAGAAUUUCGGUAAGCGAUGGGGAUGCGUUCCAUUAGAUAGUUGGCGGGGUAACGGCCCACCAAGUCUACGAUGGAUAGGGGUUCUGAGAGGAAGGUCCCCCACAUUGGAACUGAGACACGGUCCAAACUCCUACGGGAGGCAGCAGUGAGGAAUAUUGGUCAAUGGACGAGAGUCUGAACCAGCCAAAAGUAGCGUGAAGGAUGACUGCCCUAUGGGUUGUAAACUUCUUUUAUAAGGGAAUAAAGUGAGGGACGUGUCCCUUUUUGUAUGUACCUUAUGAAUAAGGAUCGGCUAACUCCGUGCCAGCCGCCGC
rnacentral:rRNA from 1 species